AUGAACGCUGGCGGCGUGCCUAAUACCUGCAAGUAGAACGCUGAAGGAGGAGCUUGCUCUUCUGGAUGAGUUGCGAACGGGUGAGUAACGCGUAGGUAACCUGCCUGGUAGCGGGGGAUAACUAUUGGAAACGAUAGCUAAUACCGCAUGACAACAGUUAUUGCAUGAUAACUGUUUAAAAGGGGCAACUGCUCCACUACCAGAUGGACCUGCGUUGUAUUAGCUAGUUGGUGAGGUAACGGCUCACCAAGGCGACGAUACAUAGCCGACCGGAGAGGGUGAUCGGCCACACUGGGACUGAGACACGGCCCAGACUCCUACGGGAGGCAGCAGUAGGGAAUCUUCGGCAAUGGACGGAAGUCUGACCGAGCAACGCCGCGUGAGUGAAGAAGGGUUUCGGAUCGUAAAGCUCUGUUGUAAGAGAAGAACGAGUGUGAGAGUGGAAAGUUCACACUGUGACGGUAUCUUACCAGAAAGGGACGGCUAACUACGUG
rnacentral:rRNA from 1 species